rnacentral:rRNA from 1 species
AUUGAACGCUGGCGGCGUGCCUAAUACAUGCAAGUCGAACGCAGUUGCGAACGGGUGAGUAACGCGUAGGUAACUGCCUCAUAGCGGGGGAUAACUCUUGGAAACGAUAGCUAUUCCCCCUUACUUUGCGAUGUACCUGCGUUGUAUUAGCUAGUUGGGGAGGUAAAGGCGCACCAAGGCGACGAUACAUAGCCGACCUGAGAGGGUGAUCGGCCACACUGGGACUGAGACACGGCCCAGACUCCUACGGGAGGCAGCAGUAGGGAAUCUUCGGCAAUGGACGGAAGUCUGACCGAGCAACGCCGCGUGAAUGAAGAAGGUUUUCGGAUCGUAAAGCUCUGUUGUUAGAGAAGCGGAAACGAACAAGAAAGGGACGGCUAACUACGUGCAAGCAGCGGCGGUAAAU